rnacentral:rRNA from 1 species
UACGUAGGGCGCAAGCGUUGUCCGGAAUUAUUGGGCGUAAAGAGCUCGUAGGUGGCUUGUUGCGUCUGCCGUGAAAGUCCGGGGCUCAACUCCGGAUCUGCGGUGGGUACGGGCAGACUAGAGUGAUGUAGGGGAGACUGGAAUUCCUGGUGUAGCGGUGAAAUGCGCAGAUAUCAGGAGGAACACCGAUGGCGAAGGCAGGUCUCUGGGCAUUAACUGACGCUGAGGAGCGAAAGCAUGGGGAGCGAACAGG